rnacentral:tRNA from 1 species
GCGCCCAUAGCUCAGUCGGUAGAGCAACUCCCUUUUAAGGAGUGGGUCCCUGGUUCGAGCCCAGGUGGGCGCA